rnacentral:lncRNA from 1 species
UCCUUGUAAGGCGCUCUCCAAACUCACGGGGAAAGUCUUUGUUCAGGAAUACUACUCAUGGAGAAAGGAGGUAUCAUAUAGCUUUGACUUUCGAGUCCAAGUUGGUCCUUGGUCUUUCUUGAAGAAACUGGGAAGAUCUCAAACGGUAACUCUGAAAACUUCGCCAGAGAAAUACGGACUCUAAUCACAAAACUAAGGAGGGUUCAGCCCGUAUCCAUGCCUUGUAUCUCUCUCUGUAGGUGGUUUGUGUUAGUGUACCAAGUACAGCGGACAGAAUGGACCUUCACGUAGACGUUAGAGUGAGGGAGCAGAUCUACAAUGUGCGGAGGGGCCAGACUGAACAGAAGAUGGGACAGCUGACCGAGACCCUUGGCGCUAUUUCUGGGUAGACUGCCAUGCCACAAUCUGAAGCUCACAAAGAGCUUCCCUCCUUGGACGCAGCCUGCACAGCUGUUUUUCUUUUCCCUUAAGUUGAUUUUCCAGGGUAGAAUGACCACGAGUGCUUGUUACACUGGGAGUAGUCCCUUCUUAUGACUUACACGUAACACGGCCUUUAGAGUUUAUGAAGUCUUUUUUUUUUUCCUCCCCUUUUGAUUCUAGGAACUGAACCCAGGGCCGCAUGGUUGCCACUAAGCUAAAUCCAUAACCGGUGAAAUCUAAGAAUUUUUUUUUCAUUUAGUUAGUCCGCCUUGGCAGUUCGGAGUCCACAUUUUGCAUCUGAGGAAAUGAAGGCCCAGGGAGGUUAGGUAAUGAGUCUACCCUCAAGAUGAGGACUUGAGGACAAGCUUUGCUACAGACCCUGCUUCUCUGAGGAAAGCGUGGUUUGCUUUCAUUGCCAAACCUAGUCAAAAGGGGGCCACAAGCUCCCAGAGUGUCCCCCCUCCCCACGCAGGAAGCUUAAUACUUCCCUGGUGUUGUGCCAGGGUCACUCCCACCCCACCAGGGGGCGGCACUCACUUGAACAAGAAAGCUUAAGUUAGGUGACUUUGUGAACAGUUUAUCUGCACACAUACAUGUGCGCGCGCGCGCGCGCGCACCUGCGCACCUGGAAACUGACCUCUGCCACUUGCUUGUACCGAGGCCUCCUGGAGAGGGGUCAUAGGUGGAAGUGUAGCUCAGUAGUGAAUUCCUUUCACAAAAUAUGUCUCUGAGCUUGACCCGCUGCAGCCGCCGUGUGCAUGUGCUCACACUCGCGAGUGCGCGUGUUCGCACAUGCGCACACAGAGACCCCCACCCCACCUCACCCCUACACACACACACCACAUUUACUUCACUAGACCCAGAAUUAGAGAAAAAGAAGGGAGGAAAUCACAGAGCUAGAAGACACAACUGUGCUCCGUUACUAAGAGCCAGGGGUGAUUGGAUCUGCACAGAGUCAAGGAAGUCUUGCUAAAGGAACUGGCACAAGAGGCUGCUCAAGCCAUGCUCUUCAAGAAAAGGGUCACCUUUUUUUUUUUUUUAACCAGUGAGCUAGAAGUGGUUUCCCGCUGUCUCAAGCCUGUUUCUUAGGGGCUCCUAGCAUGUCUGAACUUCCUCCUGAAUUUAUUUCUAAACUAAAGAGCUCCAUGCGGGAGGGGAGGUCAAAUGACCUUUAAGGUAGAGCAAUUAUGCUCAAAUUCUUAGAAGACUUCCAAGGAGAAAAACUGGGAAGGAGCGGGUGUGUGUGUGGGGGGGGUGCGGGUGCGGGCAGGACUGAUGGAGGUACAUCAGACACCAUAGACCAACCAGU